UGAUCCUUCAAAGCAAGUUUUAAUGGGAAGUGAUGAGUGGUCAUCGCUCGCAAUUAAACAUGCGAGAUGGGGUGUCUGCCUAAAGCUUUACGACAAUUAGGCACCUCCAAUUCGGAUACCUCAUAAUAAAGGAACGACUUGACUCUCCUGCAUCGUCUUUCUUUCGGUAUGUGAUGGGUUCAUCUUCUUCUAGUAAAGUGGGAAGAAAUGAGAUGAAGUAGAACUGAAGUUACUGCAUAUACUGGGACUAUUUUGCGAUUUGUGAAUCUUGCUUCUAAUAAACCUUGGUUAUUUAGCUGAUUGUGUUAAAUAAAUUCUGUAUAAACCUUUUACAAUUUGCGUGUAAUUGAGGGGUAAAACUGUCCUAAUUCCACUAGUAGUGAGAAAUGUCACUAAACUAGGGUGACAGAUUGAUUGAUGUUUUAGAGAUAGAAAUCAGUUUGCUACAAAGUAUUUUGAAUUUUUUUCUAGCUUUUUCUAAGGAGAACAUGGUGUAUAGUAACGUAUAUACAAGGGUAUUUUGGGCAAUAUUCAGCAAAUAACAAUUUGGCUGCUAAAAUCAGUAAUUUUAGGGUAAAUUACACGGAUGGUCCCUAUGGUUUGGGGUAAUCUGCGCGUUUACUCCCUAACAAUUUUUUUUAAAUCUUGCGUUUACUCCCUAACAAUUUUUUUUAAAAUCGGACCGUCCUUAUAGUUUGAUUUUGUUGCGUCGUUGGUCCCUGACUUAAAAUGACCAAUAUACCCUUACCUAUUAUUUUAAUUGUUUUUUAUUAUUAACUUACUAAAAGGAAAUCGACUAAUAUGUGUGGGUCCCACCCACCAAAUCUUUUACCCUUUCUCUCUAAUAUCUUUUUCCCUUUCUAUCUACAAAAAUGAGAAUACGGACCAUCAACACCGGCACCGGACCUAAAACCUCUGACCUCCUCAACCCCCAUUUUGGUUUUGCUGAUAAAACACGAAGGUGAAAAAGAUGGUGAUGGUUCAAAGGUUUCUGGCGAUCCAACGAAGGCGAAGGCCAUCUUCUCUCCCAUUCCCCUCCUCUGUCGCCCUGUCACCACCAACCCCCUAACUAUAUCUUCUCCAUUUCAUAUUUGACCCCAAAUCACUCUAAUGUAAAAAAGAUGCCUCUAAGCUACCAUUUUCUUCUCCUAUAUAACUCCAAAAGUAUUUUGAUCAGUUAUGUAGAUCUGUGAACUCGACCCUUACCCAGUGCUCACGUGUAAAUCGGUUAUGGAGAAACUGAUUUUGUUCGUCAAUGGAUGUAUGGAAGAAAUUGAUUUAUUUGGUUGUAUCAGAGGGAAUGUCUGAAAUCACGGAGGUUGCCUGACGUUGGAGUCCGAAGGCGGAUGCUUGAUGACGGAGACCAGUGACGGUAAAAAGCACCGAUUUCCUGUGAAACGGAACGUCGGAAAAGGAGGUGCUCCAACUAAGAGAGAGGGAAAUAGAGACGAUGGGGCAAGCGGCAGUCGACUUGGUCGGUCAUCGUCGCGAGUCACAUUUUGCAGCGAUAUUUAGGGCACAAAGGGGGUAAUUCUGGGGUUUGGGAGAUGAUGAAGCAUGUGUACAGUGAAGAGGAGGAGAAAGGGAUAUUACUCAGGUGGGAGGAAGGAGGCAGUCAACAUUCUGGAUACACGUGAAACCAUAUUCAAACGCGAGAGAGAGGAAUGCGUUUGUAUGGAGGGACGGAUGAAGUUUUUUUUUAUUAAAUUAUUCUAUUUCAAUAACAUAUAAAUAAUAAAUAAAUCUGAAAAUAAAAUCAUAAGGUAAAA